rnacentral:rRNA from 1 species
UACGUAGGUGGCAAGCGUUGUCCGGAAUUAUUGGGCGUAAAGCGCGCGCAGGCGGUCUUUUAAGUCUGAUGUGAAAGCCCACGGCUCAACCGUGGAGGGUCAUUGGAAACUGGGGGACUUGAGUGCAGGAGAGAAGAGUGGAAUUCCACGUGUAGCGGUGAAAUGCGUAGAGAUGUGGAGGAACACCAGUGGCGAAGGCGACUCUUUGGCCUGUAACUGACGCUGAGGCGCGAAAGCUAGGGGAGCAAACGGG